rnacentral:rRNA from 1 species
GUCCCCUAGUAACGGCGAGUGAAGCGGGAAGAGCUCAAAUUUGAAAUCUGGUGGCCUCAGGUCAUCCGAGUUGUAAUCUAUAGAAGUGUUUUCCGUGCUGGCUCAUGUACAAGUCCCUUGGAACAGGGCGUCAUAGAGGGUGAGAAUCCCGUCCUUGACAUGAACUACCAGUGCUCUGUGAUACAUUUUCAACGAGUCGAGUUGUUUGGGAAUGCAGCUCAAAAUGGGUGGUAAAUUCCAUCUAAAGCUAAAUAUUGGCGAGAGACCGAUAGCGAACAAGUACCGUGAGGGAAAGAUGAAAAGCACUUUGGAAAGAGAGUUAAACAGUAUGUGAAAUUGUUGAAAGGGAAACGAUUGAAGUCAGUCGUGCUCUUUGGAUUCAGCCGGUUCUGCCGGUGUACUUCCUUUGAGUGGGGUCAACAUCAGUUUUGAUCGCUGGAUAAAGGCUGGAGGAACGUAGUACCCUCGGGUAAACUUAUAGCCUCCUGUCACAUACAGUGGUUGGGACUGAGGAACGCAGCACGCCUUUAUGGCCGGGAUUCGUCCACGUACGUGCUUAGGAUGUUGACAUAAUGGCUUUAAACGACCCGUCUUGAAACACGGACCA